AAAUGAAUAUAAGCACUUUAUAAAAUGGAAUCUUGGUGAAAAUCCAAAACGGUCCCGCCACUGUGAUUAGCUUUUUGCUAUAAGUCAGAUCUUUUUUAUAAAGAUGUUCGUGCGCAUGUUAUUUCGAUGUAAAAUGACAUGCUUUUA
rnacentral:sRNA from 2 species